rnacentral:lncRNA from 1 species
AUGCAAACAUCAGAGUACAAAUUGCUGUGUGCUUGCCAGUCUGAUCAUGACACUUAUCCCUUUGCACAGUUGUUUGAUUCUCUUCCUCUGAAACACUGCAGUGUUGCCAAGACCUUAAGGGCAGCCCUAUUAGUAGUCAUAUUCACAUCCAAGAUCUCACUUAAUUCAAUCGAAAUUGAAGACACUGCAGGAGGUACGACACAUCCCUAUGUAACUGCUAGCUACAGCAUGGGGUUGAAGAAGUGAGUACUGAUGGAGCACGGCCCGAUGAAGAACCGAUUAAAUCUUCUGAACACUCUGAAGGGCUGGAAAGGAAGAACUGGAGAGAAUAGCAGCAGGAACUGGAGAAAGAUCUUCCUAGAGCAGAACUACUGACAAUGGAAUGGACACUUUCUCCUUCAUCAGGAGAUCUGCUCUGGAGCCAGCUUUUCAUGCAUGCCCCUUUGAUGUCCCAGAAGUAAAAUCAAAAAUUCAUACAGCUCUGCUCAAGCUGAGGGGCUGAAAGUUUCACAUAGGGAAGAUAAUGAAUAUUUGAUUCACUUUUUUCCACCUUCAACACUCAGCUGAUUAUAGAUUAUACUUAGAAGGCAAAAUUAACAUCUCUGCUCUCCAGCAGCUGCUUCUGUAACUAACAAGGAGGGGUAAGAGCUAUGUAACACAAAUUUACUGCUUCUCUGUAUAGACUUAAUUGAUGAGGAGGAUGUUAGAUCCCACCUUGAUGGACACUUUGAACUACAAAGAGAAAUUUUGUACAUGCCUGUGAAGUUGUCAGACUGAAUUAUGGUCAGUAACUGCUCCAGUAUCACUGAGUGUCCAGCUACAAACUAUCUUAUUUUAUUGGUUCCUUUAAACCAUCCAUUCCUUGCAGGUACUUUUAAUUAUCACCAAGAUAUGGUAACAUCCACCUGUUGCCUUUCUACCAUAUUCUAGAAGCUGCAGUGUUUCCCUUUCCUUCCCUUCCCUUCCCUUCCCCUUCCCCUUCCCCUUCCCUUCCUUCCUUCC